AUUGAACGCUGGCGGCAGGCCUAACACAUGCAAGUCGAGCGAGCGGCGGACGGGUGAGUAAUGUCUGGGAAACUGCCUGAUGGCGGGGGAUAACUACUGGAAACGGUAGCUAAUACCGCAUACCAUCAGAUGUGCCCAGAUGGGAUUAGCUAGUAGGUGGGGUAAUGGCUCACCUAGGCGACGAUCCCUAGCUGGUCUGAGAGGAUGACCAGCCACACUGGAACUGGGACAGUGUCCAGACUCCUACGGUAGGCAGCAGUGGGGAAUAUUGCACAGUGGGCGCAAGCCUGAUGCAGCCAUGCCGCGGGUAUGAAGAGGGCCUUAGGGUGGUAAAGUACUUUCAGCGAGGAGGCGUUACUCGCAGAAGAAGCACCGGCUAACACCGUGCCAGCAGCCGCGGUAAUUC
rnacentral:rRNA from 1 species